AGGAAUUUCCGAGAGAAACGAAGAAAAGAGAAUUUUCUAGAUUUAAUUUUGAAAAGACGAAUUGCAAGACGAAUAGUAAGGAAUUUCCGAGAGAAACGACGCAAAGAUACUUUUUUGGAUUUAUUUUUGAAAAAACGAAUUGCUAGACAAAUAGUUAGGAAUUUCCGAGAAAACCGCAGAAAAGAGAAGGAAGAAUCAAACUAAAGAGAGAGAACUACGAAAUGAAAUAAUUCGAUCAUCAAUUCAUACUUAAAAUAAUUAUUAUUAUUAAGGACAUCGGUCAGUCAUGUCCGUCAUUCGGUGAAGUUAAAUGAAACUUAUUCAAAGUUUGUCUGCUGAAAACUCUGACACACAUCUUGAAAUUAUCUUGUUUAAUUUUUUGAUUAAAGUAAAAUAGAGAGUAUAUUAAACUAAUUUAUUUAAACACUGGUCACAUUAAGUGAAAGUUGAAAAUAAAAUAAAUGUGACUUAUUCAAGCCGAGAACACAAAUUAUGGAGUAUUAUUUAUUGCAAUAAUGAUUAUUAUUUUUAAUCAACAGCUUAAUACAUAUUCACAAUCACAUUGUAUUACUAUUUUAAACAUCAAAUUGUACAGAAGAACUUAAUAAAUAAAUUAUAAACAAUCAAACUUGAUUAGCCUUAAUAGUCAAUGUGCUCAUGUUUUUGUAAAAUACAGUCGCCGUCGUAUAUUUCAAUACAAUGACGACGAUUUUUUUAAUUAAGUUUUGAUUUAU